rnacentral:rRNA from 1 species
UACAGAGGUCCCAAGCGUUGUUCGGAUUCACUGGGCGUAAAGGGUGCGUAGGCGGUCGGGUAAGUCUGAUGUGAAAUCUCACAGCUUAACUGUGACACUGCAUUGGAUACUAUCCGGCUCGAGGAAUGGAGGGGAGACUGGAAUACUUGGUGUAGCAGUGAAAUGCGUAGAUAUCAAGUGGAACACCAGUGGCGAAGGCGAGUCUCUGGACAUUUCCUGACGCUGAGGCACGAAAGCCAGGGGAGCAAACGGG